GCAGACGGCCGGACGGUCGCUGCCGGAAUGGCGCAAGCCAGACCGGGGGAGGAAAGUCCGGACUCCGCAGGGCAGUGUGCCGGAUAACGUCCGGGCUGUCACCUUCAAGGGUGGCAGACGGCUAGUGCCACAGAGAAUAUACCGCCCUCUGCAAGCUCUCCACGCAAGUGGUGAGUGAGGGUAAGGGUGAAAAGGUGCGGUAAGAGCGCACCGCGCUUCUCGUAAGAGCGGCGGCAGGGUAAACCCCACACGGAGCAAGACCAAAUAGGCAGGGAGACCGCGGUUCGAUCCAGACCGCGGUCGCGUAUCGGCCCGAUACGCCCAGGCGGAUUCGUUGCAGCAAUGCAGCGUGCCGAAACUUGCGGGUAGGUUGCUGGAGCGGCUCAGUAAUGUGCCGCCUAGAGGAAUGACCGUCCACGGUGCGCAAGCACCCGGACAAAAUCCGGCUUACAGGCCGUCUGCUGGA
rnacentral:RNase_P_RNA from 1 species